CUACACAUAAUUAAAAUGAGUCGUGCCAUGGGGGAUGCGUUCGAUCAGUUAAUUUUCAUUUUAUAUCAAAUGAUGCACCUGUUAAUAACAAAUCAAGCGAUGCAACAAACUUUCUUUCUAUGAUGCACAUUAACUGUAUGUGUUAUAGUAAGCGAGAUAGUAUGCCUGAGCAAUUCAUCACCAUGUAUCUUUCAUAUUAUUUUGAGCAUGAGUUGUGCAAAUACGUACCUCUUCAUGCAGAUGUGCAAACAUCCAAGAAUAGAAAAUAACCAUUGUUAGAGUAGCAUAAUUUGUGCAAACAGAAAUGUCAUUACAUAAAAAAAAAGAGCUAAAAAAACUGCUCCCAGGAAAGACUUUGUUUGGCUACUAGCUAGUACACACUAGUACAUGAUAAAUACUUACUGCUAAUUGAUAUGGCGUGAUGAAUAUUGCCAGGGUCUGACUUAUAUUUGACAAAAGUAUCAGGCGAGGUCUACUUUGAUCGAGCAUUCUUUGGUCCUCUUCCAAUUGCGCUAACUAGCUAUGUUUUGUUUAAGUAGCUAAACUAGCUAUGUAUGCAAGCUGAAUUCAAAAGAGAGAUCAAAUCACUUUUGAUUAUUAAACAGACCAAACCAUAUUUUACCAUGGGCAAGA
rnacentral:lncRNA from 1 species